CCUACGGGCGGCAGCAGUGGGGAAUAUUGGACAAUGGGCGAAAGCCUGAUCCAGCCAUGCCGCGUGUGUGAAGAAGGCCUUCGGGUUGUAAAGCACUUUCAGUGGGGAAGAAAGCCUUGGGGCUAAUACCCUCGAGGAAGGACAUUACCCACAGAAGAAGCACCGGCUAACUCCGUGCCAGCAGCCGCGGUAAUACGGAGGGUGCGAGCGUUAAUCGGAAUUACUGGGCGUAAAGCGCGCGUAGGCGGUCUGAUAAGCCGGUUGUGAAAGCCCCGGGCUCAACCUGGGAACGGCAUCCGGAACUGUCAGGCUAGAGUGCAGGAGAGGAAGGUAGAAUUCCCGGUGUAGCGGUGAAAUGCGUAGAGAUCGGGAGGAAUACCAGUGGCGAAGGCGGCCUUCUGGACUGACACUGACGCUGAGGUGCGAAAGCGUGGGUAGCAAACAGGAUUAGAUACCCUUGUAGUC
rnacentral:rRNA from 1 species